rnacentral:rRNA from 1 species
AUUGAACGCUGGCGGCAUGCCUUACACAUGCAAGUCGGACGAGCGGCGAACGGGUGAGUAACGCAUCGGAAUGUAACGAGUAAUGGGGGAUAACUGCCCGAAAGGACAGCUAAUACCGCAUAUUAUUCGAGCGGCCGGUGUAUGAUUAGCUGGUUGGUGGGGUAAAGGCCCACCAAGGCGACGAUCAGUAGCGGGUCUUAGAGGAUGAUCCGCCACACUGGAACUGAGACACGGCCCAGACUCCUACGGGAGGCAGCAGUGGGGAAUUUUGGACAAUGGGCGCAAGCCUGAUCCAGCCAUGCCGCGUGUCUGAAGAAGGCCUUCGGGUUGUAAAGGACUUUUGUCAGGGAGGCGUUACCUGAAGAAUAAGCACCGGCUAACUACGUGCCAGCAGCCGCGGUAAUUC